AGACUUGCAUUUGCAUUGAUCAUUGCAGCUCUGUCUCUUUUCUUUCAGGUAAGUCACUGCAAAGGGCUUUUAGAUCCCAGAAUGUUAAGCAAGCCCACUCAAGUUCCUGGAGAGGAUGGAAAUCCUGACCUACUCGAACACAGGGGAGCAUCUCUCAUGGCCACAGACCUCUUGGAAGAGAGGCUCAAGAUCUCUUUGCCUGGAGAGCAGAGCCACCAUCUUGGGAGGACGUUUGAUGCUUCUGUCCGGUUCCUGUGCCAUAAGCCCUUGCUGUAUACCUUCACGGCAUGGAUGGGAGCAAUGUCCCAAACUACUUUGUCAGUUGCAUGGAGGAUCGCCUCCCCCGUCACAAGGCUGUGGAGCUUAAACUGGUAAUUAUCACAUGCAGAUUUUCCAAAAGGUUCGUUUGUCUCCAACACUG
rnacentral:lncRNA from 1 species